UACUUGCACGGCUCUGGAAAUUAAAGGUGCAAGGCAAGUGGCACGUUCAAUAUGGCACUGCCCUUUGCUUUACCGCCUUCCAGUUCUAGUACUUUCUUUUUCCUUGUUUAAUAAAGCUCUGUGUCUGUUUAACUGUACAUUGCUGUCCACCCUAUGAUGAGGAGGAGGGAACAAAACAAUGGUCCUCCAUUCCACAGCUGCUCAGUGCCUCCCCCCUGCUGGGGUGCCCUAAGCAAACAGUAGAGCCUGCUCCACCAGAUUUGAGGUGUGAGAAGAUGUUUGUGCACUUGUCAGGCAGCCAGUGACAAUUUCAUUCUCCUGUGUGUGGCACAGAAGGUGUGUGCUGAUAAGUUGUGCCACUCAUGAAUCAUGCUUGCCCAUGC